rnacentral:lncRNA from 1 species
GCGCCUUCUCGGCCUCAGAGUCCAAUGGCUCUGGACGCGCUUGAGGAGCCCUUCAACCCGCUGCUGCGCUGUGGGGGCCCCUCUCUGGGGCUGGCCGAGGCAGGAGCCGGCUCCCUCUGCUCACGGGGAGGUGUGGAGGGAGAGGAACGUCUGGGAGCCAGGGCCGCAAGCGGCACUCAGGGGCCUGCGCGGGUUCGGGUGGGCCGGGCUCAGAAGGCCCCGCGCUCAGCGCAGCCAGCCGGUGCCUGCUGGGCUUGAUCAGGAGAUGAGUUCCCUCUGGGCUGCCAGAGUGCCUGGGCUAGGUGCUGCAAAGUCCUAUAGCGACUGCCAUUGAGAAGUGAAGCCGGCUAGGCUUCUGGGUCAGGUGAGGACCUGAAGAACGUUUCUGUCUAGCUGAAGGUUUGUAAACGCACCAAUCAGUGCUUUGUCAAAACGGACCCAUCAGCUCUCUGUAAAACGGACCAAUCAGCUCUCUGUAAAAUGGACCAAUCAGCUCUCUAUAAAAUGGACCAAGCAGUAGGAUGUGGGUGGGGCCAGAUAAGGGAACGAAAGCAGGCCUCCCAAGCCAGGAGCGGCAAACUGCUGGGAUCCAUUUCCAUGCUGUGGACUCUUUGUGCUUUGCUCUUUGCAGUAAAUCUUGCUGCUGCUCACUUUUUGGGUCUGCACCACCUUUAUGAGCUGUAACACUCACCGCGAAGGUCUGCAGCUUUACACCUGAAGCCAGGGAGACCACGAACUCAUCAGGAGGAACGAACAACUCCAGACGCGCGGCCUUUAAGAGCUGUAACACUCAACGCGAAGGUCUGCAGCUUCACUCUUGAAGUCAGCGAAACCGCAAACCCACCAGAAGGAAGAAACUCCGGACACAUCUGAACACCUGAAGGAACAAACCCCGGACACACCAUCUCUAAGAACUGUAACACUCACCGCCAGGGUCCGCGGCUUCAUUCUUGAAUCAGUGAGACCAAGAACCCACCAAUUCCAGACACAGAAGUUACUGAACCCCAACAUUUUGGUUUGGAGUACUCUCUUCAGAAGUGUUCAAGGUUCAAAUUGAGGUCUUCUGUUGUCAUGGAAUAACUUUCUCAACAAUGAUGUACAACCAGUGAGGUCAAUAGUUGACAGAUGGACGUUGAAGCCAUGCAAUUACACCUCCCAAACCAUUAUAAAGAAUGUAACAGAAGAAAGGUGGAACCCAGUCUAAAACACACCAAACAAUAAAAGGCACUAAAAUAAUUGCUUCACAUUUAAUGAAUCUUUCUUUAAUAUGACAACCAAUCCAAGAAUCUUUGAAUUCCCUUUCCCUGGUAAAAGUCAAAACAUUUUUGAGGCGGUGGCAGUUUAUCUAAAUUACUGUUUUUUCUCCAUCAGUCUUUAGGCUUAAUCUCAUUUGCUUUUAUGGAUAUGGUAACCCUUUUGAAUAGCUUUUAACCUUUUAAAAGUCGCCUUGACCCGAAGAGCCUAAAAAUUUUUAAUAUAAUAUUGAAUGAUAAAAAUUGAACAAUUGAGUGCUUUUCUGACUCUCAGUCUGCAUGCAGUGCUCUGGGUCGUACAGCAGAAUUUCUGGCUGAAUGAAAAAAAAUUAAAAUACCUGUAUAUAGCUUGCUUGUAGCAGAAACCUUCAGCUCUGACCUCCGUUUCAUUGGCUCCAUUGUUCCUUGUGCCCCCACAGUAUCUUGGCUUUCUCUUUUCCAGAGAAAGAGUGUGUUUUAUCCUGCAGCACGUCAGCUUCAAAGGGCUCUUACUUCAAGUGUCCAGCGCAUCAUUCUGGUAAAUUAAGAAAUCCUCGGCUUAAGAUCGUCUCUUUCAAUCACAUAUAAUUAGAUGAUCCUCAAUCAAUCACUUAAAGGCCUGAAUAGAACCAAAAGUCUGACCUGCCCAUGAGUAACAGAGAGCUCCUUCUGCCUGAUUGCUUCAGCUGAGAUAUCGGCCUUUCCCUGCCUUUGGAAUUGAACUGCAACACUGGCUCUUCUUGGGCCUCAAGACUGCCAGCUUUUGAACUGUAACCACACUAUCAUCUCUCCUGGUUCUCAGGCCUUUGGACUCAAAUCAGAAGCAUACCAGGGGCUCUCCUACAUCUCCAACUUGCUAACUGUGAUCUUGAGACUUCUUAGCCUCCAUAAUCACAUGAGUCAAUUGUUGGUUCUGCUUCUCUGGAGAACCCUAAUCCAUCACUCUACAUCUUUGUUCCAUUAUACAUAUUGCUUCCCAGCAUAUUAAAUAAUUUAUCGAUUAUAUUUUUGGUUUAUUAUUUAUUUCUCCUACUGGAAUGUAAGUUUCACAGAGCUCUUGUUCAUUGCUAGAUCUCAAGCCUGGCAUCUAGUAGGUAUUCAGCAAAUAGCUGUUGAAAGAUGAAAAAAUAAAUCUAAUCUGCCAAGUGGAGGUAGGUACUGCGAAGAAGAAUAAAACCAAAUAAAGGAACUUGAGGGGAACAACAGCACUUCUUUUUAUAGAAGGUAGUUAGGUCCUGGUGGGACAAUGGACAUUACUACUGGGAUAUAAUGUUUAUCUUCCAAACUAGGCUAUCUUUCUUAAUCCUGAGAUCCUUGCAGAUUCACAUGGAGUUAUAAGAAAUAAUACAGAGAAAUCUCAUGUAUCCUCUACCCAGUUUCCUUGAAUAGUACCA